rnacentral:ncRNA from 1 species
CACCGAUAACGGCACCCCCGUAGCGAUGCGGGUUCGCAAAGCCAGGAGUCUCGAAUCUUCAAUGCGGAGUUUUUCGAGAUCGUCCGGCUACCGAA